GCCAGAGUAGCUCAGUUGGUAGAGCACUCCCUUCGUAAGGGAGGGGUCGCCGGUUCAAGCCCGGCUUCUGGCUCCA
rnacentral:tRNA from 1 species